rnacentral:rRNA from 1 species
UACGGGGGGGGCAAGCGUUGUUCGGAAUUACUGGGCGUAAAGGGCUCGUAGGCGGCCAACUAAGUCGGACGUGAAAUCCCCGGGCUCAACCUGGGAACUGCAUCCGAUACUGGAUGGCUUGAAUUCGGGAGAGGGAUGCAGAAUUCCAGGUGUAGCGGUGAAAUGCGUAGAUAUCUGGAGGAAUACCGGUGGCGAAGGCGGCAUCCUGGACCGACAUUGACGCUGAGGAGCGAAAGCCAGGGGAGCAAACGGG